UCUACCCGUACACUAUCUAUUUAUUUUUGUUUAGAUUUGUCAAAGGAUGUAAACCCAGAGAUUGAACUUGCUUUGAUAUUGGUGCUUCUGAUCUAAGGGAGAUGGAGGAGUUCCAUGAAGUUAUUGUUGCAUCAGCCAUAUUUGGAAACUAUGAUGUGAUUCAACAACCAAAGAAUGUCAGUUACAUUGUAAGAAAAAAGCAAUCCCUUCUAUAAGUUUGUUGAUGAAGAGACAGAAGCAUCCUUGAAGAAUUCUUGUUCACAAUGUGCCUUACACUGGUGCAAGAUGCAAUGGGAAGGAUUAAAGAUUAUUGGAGGCAACUCCACACGAAUUGGUCGGGCAAUUGACUUGGUAAUGGCAACUCCCAAGUUCCGAGUUGAGUGGGGCGUGCUUCACCCAGGUGCACAGUUGUAGGCUUUCCCGCAAAUUUAAAAAAAAUAGAAAAAAAAACCUUUCAAACUAUGUGGCUAGUUAUGCUACCUAUUAACUCUAAAUGCGAUUUUAUUGUUUCAGUUGAUGCUCAGGAUUUUGUGGAGAUAAUGCUACCCUUUUUGUGUGUGUGUGUGUGUGUGUGAAUGCUACCUAUUAACUCUAAAUGAAAUUUGUUGUUUAAAUGUC